ensembl:snRNA U6 U6 spliceosomal RNA
GUGCUCGCUGUGGCAGCACGUACACUGACAUCGUAACGGGACAGAGAAGAUUAGCAUGGCCCCUGCGCAAGGAUGACCCGCAAAUUCGUGAAGCGGUCAGAGAACAA